UACGUAGGGGGCAAGCGUUAUCCGGAUUUACUGGGUGUAAAGGGAGCGUAGGUGGUUUGGUAAGUCAGGUGUGAAAGCCCGGGGCUCAACUCCGGGAUUGCACUUGAAACUAUCAAACUAGAGUGCAGGAGAGGUAAGUGGAAUUCCUAGUGUAGCGGUGAAAUGCGUAGAUAUUAGGAGGAACACCAGUGGCGAAGGCGGCUUACUGGACUGUAACUGACACUGAGGCUCGAAAGCGUGGGGAGCAAAC
rnacentral:rRNA from 1 species